rnacentral:rRNA from 1 species
GUAGUCCACGCCCUAAACGAUGUCAACUAGUUGUUGGUAGAGUAAAAUCUAUGAGUAACGCAGCUAACGCGUGAAGUUGACCGCCUGGGGAGUACGAUCGCAAGAUUAAAACUCAAAUGAAUUGACGGGGGCCCGCACAAGCGGUGGAUUAUGUGGAUUAAUUCGAUGCAACGCGAAAAACCUUACCUGGCCUUGACAUGUACGGAACUUUCCAGAGAUGGAUUGGUGCUCGAAAGAGAACCGUAACACAGGUGCUGCAUGGCUGUCGUCAGCUCGUGUCGUGAGAUGUUGGGUUAAGUCCCGCAACGAGCGCAACCCUUGCCAAUAAUUGCCAUCAUUUAGUUGGGCACUUUAUUGGGACUGCCGAUGACAAAUCGGAGGAAGGUGGGGAUGACGUCAAGUCCUCAUGGCCCUUAUGGCCAGGGCUUCACACGUAAUACAAUGGUCGGUACAGAGGGUUGCCAAGCCGCGAGGUGGAGCCAAUCCCAGAAAGCCGAUCGUAGUCCGGAUUGCAGGCUGCAACUCGCCUGCAUGAAGUCGGAAUCGCUAGUAAUCGCGGAUCAGCAUGUCGCGGUGAAUA